rnacentral:rRNA from 1 species
UACGAGUGCCUCAAGCGUUAUCCGGAAUCAUUGGGCGUAAAGGAUGUGUAGGUGGUUGUAUUAGUCUUCUGUUAAAUUCUUCGGCUUAACCGGGGGCCUGCAGGGGAAACGGUAUGACUAGAGGAUGCGAGGGGUCUGCGGAACUCAUAGUGUAGUGGUGAAAGGCGUUGAUAUUAUGGGGAACACCAAAAGCGAAGGCAGCAGACUGGAGCACUCCUGACACUGAAACAUGAAAGCGUGGGUCGCGAAUGGG